rnacentral:rRNA from 1 species
CAGCCGCCACGGUAAUACGUAGGGUGCGAGCGUUAAUCGGAAUUACUGGGCGUAAAGCGUGCGCAGGCGGUUCGUUAAGACAGAUGUGAAAUCCCCGGGCUUAACUUGGGAACUGCAUUUGUGACUGGCGAGCUAGAGUAUGGCAGAGGGGGGUAGAAUUCCACGUGUAGCAGUGAAAUGCGUAGAGAUCUGGAGGAAUACCGGUGGCGAAGGCGGCCCCCUGGACGAAGACUGACGCUCAGGUACGAAAGCGUGGGGAGCAAACAGGAUUAGAUACCCCUGUAGUCCCUGUCUCUUAUAC